GCCUGACUGGCUCAGUUGGUAGAGCAUGAGACUCUUGAUCUUGGGGUUGUGAGUUCGAGCCCCAUGUUGGUG
rnacentral:tRNA from 1 species